GGACAACGGGGAGCGGCCGUGGGUGGGGACACCGCGGUGACAGUGCCACGUGGGGUGGGGACCCCCAAGUGACAGUGCCACGUGGGGUGGGGACAGUGGCACUAUGGGGUGGGGACAUUGCAGUGACAAUGGCACUAUGGGGAUGGGGCCAGUGCCACCAUGGGGUGGGGACCCCCAAGUGACAGGGCCAAGUGGGGUGGGGACCCCCAAGUGACAGGGCCACAUGGGGUGGGGACAGUGGCACUAUGGGGAUGGGGACCCCCAAGUGACAGUGCCACUACGGGGAUGGGGACCCCCAAGUGAUAGGGCCAUGUGGGGUGGAGACCCCCAAGUGACAGUGCCACUAUGGGAUGGGGACCCCUGAGUGACAGUGCCACUAUGGGGUGGGGACAGUGCCACGUGGGGUGGGGACCCCUAGGUGACAGUGCCACUAUGGGGUGGGGACCCCCAGGUCACAGGGCCACUAUGGGGAUGGGGACAGUGGCACUAUGGGGUGGGGACCCCUAAGUGACAGUACCACUGUGGGGUGGGGACAGUGGAACUAUGGGGAUGGGGACCCCCAAGUGCCAGGGCCACUAUGGGGAUGGGACCAGUGGCACUACAGGGAUGGGGACCCCCAAGUGACAGGGCCACGUGGGGAUGGGGACCCCCAAGUGACAGUACCACUAUGGGGGUGGGGACCCCCAAGUGACAGCGCCACGUGGGGUGGGGAUCCCUGAGUGACAGUGGUACUACGGGGGUGGGGACCCCCAAGUGACGAUGCUAGUAUGGGGAUGGGGACCCCCAAGUGAUAGGGCCUCUAUGGGGUGGGGACCCCCAAGUAACAGUGCCACAAUGGGGUGGGGAUGGUGCCACCAUGGGGUGGGGACCCCCAGGUGACAGUGCCACUAUGGGGAUGGGGACAGUGCUACUAUGGGGUGGGGACCCCCAAGUGACAGGGCCACAUGGGGUGGGGACCCCCAAGUGACAGUGCCACGUGGGGGGGGGACCCCAAAGUGACAGUGCCACUAUGAGGAUGGGGCCAGUGCCACCAUGGGGUGGGGACCCCCAGGUGACAAUGCUAGUAUGGGGAUGGGGACCCCCAAGUGCCAGUGCCACCAUGGGGUGGGGACCCCCAAGUGACAAU
rnacentral:lncRNA from 1 species